rnacentral:sRNA from 22 species
AUGUCCCACUCGAACACUCCGGUUCCUCUGCGCCGUCCGCAGCCAGCUGACGGCGCUCGCUACGUGUUUUAGCCG